rnacentral:sRNA from 1 species
CUACACUCUUCGAUGUUGGUGGUAUCAUAGAUGUUCCUGUACAACUACAUUGGCCAGGACGGGAUUACCAGCUCCAUAGUGAUGCUGAUCAUCUGCGGGGGCCUGGUCAAUGGCCCAUACGCGCUCAUCACCACUGCUGUCUCUGCUGACCUGGGGACUCACAAGAGCCUGAAGGGCAAUGCCAAAGCCCUGUCCACGGUCACGGCCAUCAUCGACGGCACCGGCUCCAUAGGUGCGGCUCUGGGGCCUCUGCUGGCUGGGCUCAUCUCCCCCAUGGGCUGGAACAAUGUCUUCUACAUGCUCAUCUCUGCCGACGUCCUAGCCUGCUUGCUCCUUUGCCGGUUAGUGUACAAAGAGAUCUUGGCCUGGAAGGUGUCCCUAAGCAGAGGCAGCGGGUAUAAAGAAAUAUGAGGCCCCAACGGGAACAGCAGCAUGGAAGGCCCCAGUUGGGUCCCCAACGUGCUCCCCAUGGGCAAGACAAUAGAAACUUCCACAAGUAGGGGAGGCAAACCCUCUUUAUUGAACAUCAGCCAGCCCAGCCCAGACCCAGGGCUGCCUAAGGACACAGAGAUUCUCCAUGGGAAGGGGACUGCCAAGCAUGAAGAUAUAGAAGAUUCAGGGGCCUGAGCUCUGGAAGCUGCAAGCAAAAGGGAUGAGACUGGGGCUGAGUUGUGUCUCCAUUUUGAUAAGGGAAGGAUAUGCUCAGACUCUUGCUUGUUCAGAUGCCAAGACAGAAGGCUUCACAAGGCCAAGGCCUGGAAAAUGUGUGUCUCUCCUUCCCAUGUUAAAUUUUAACCUCUGUAAUCUGCCUGUAUUUAUAGGUGGGCAUCUCACUCCGUCAACAGAGCCUAGCCUCUCUUUGUCCCUCUAUCCAUGAAACAGUCUUCCCUGUGCAUUUCCCCAAGCUGGGCCCUCUUCUACCCUCCAUUUAGGCCUGUUGAUAACUCCAUUACCCGCCCAUCACUGCUGUUCUUCCAGGGCCAGCACUCGGGUGAGGCAGGGGAGCUGCCUUCGGUACAUAAUUUGAGGGGGCACUCCCUCUUGGGCACAUGCCGGCCCUGAGUGCCUCCCUUGCCUCACUCUGAUCCCGGCCCUGUAAUGUCCUCAGUGGAAGGUGACUGGGGACCGGUGCUGUGGGGAGAGUAGAAAGAGGGGUUGGCAUGACUAAAAAUACCAGUAUGUGUAUUAAGUAUUUUGAGAAUGAAAUGCCAAGGAGUGCCUACUGUAUGCCAGCUCUGCUCUAGGAAUGGAGUAGACAAUGGACACAAGAAGGACUUAUGCCCUGAGCACAGGUGCCAACGGUGACAAGACUGGCAAGACGUGAGGGCGUGAAUGGUUCAUUCAGGCAGCUGCUGCAGGUGUGGUCACCUGGUACCAUCUGCUGCUCCCUUUUCCACUUUUCUAUGUUCUCCUUCCACCCCAAGUCCCGGAUCACUUGCUGUCUUCUGGCUAGCUCUUGGCAUCUCCAUCUGAGCCUAAAGUUGCCCACUGGCACCAAUAGAUUCCCUUUGACCUGCUGCACCCAUGCUCAUCCUUGUUGGGGCUUGGCUUGGCAGUGAGCGGGGCUGGCAUGGGGUGCUGAAGUGGGGUCC